rnacentral:lncRNA from 1 species
ACACACACACAGAGAGAAUGAAGUUUCUUUCUGUCUCUUAAGUGAUGUGUGAGUGGAUGGACAGAUUGCCCUCAGCUUUAAGGGCAGUUCAGGAUGAUCUGUCUUAAGAUCGAUGCUCUGUGGAAUGAGAAAAAUGCGCUCUGCAGGGCAUGCCCACUGCAUGUGCUGGGAGGCUCUCCUACAUCCAAUGGGCAGAUGCGCAGUCUCCACGGAGGCCUCAGGCCUCGGUGUGAGCCAGGGCUGCUUCAAACAUGUCGGCUAUCUAAAGUCCAGCAUCUUCCGGUGACUCUGGAGGAAGAGGUGGGCCCCCGUGCUGGAUAGUGGGAGGUUCUACAUCAUUACCUGGUCCUGAGAGCUGAGCUGUAGCCUCCUGGUGGACUGGAGAAGUUCCCACCUCUGCACUAGGCUCUGUUGCUAUGGUGAGCUGCAUGUCUGGAGGCUUAACAGAGACAUUGGGCAAAUCUGAAUGCUGAGUUUGAUGGUGACCUGGAGGUGAAACGGUGACUUCAUGAUGUUCUGGAGGCUGAGCUGGGGUCUCCUGCUGGGCUGGAGAAGAUUCAACCUCCCCAGAAGGCUGAGCUGGCUGCUCCUGCUCACUGGGGGAAAGUUCAGGCUCUACAGGAGGACCUGGAGGCUCAGUUGGGGCCUCCUCUUGGUUUGCAGGAGGUUCCAUCUCUUCUGGAGGCUGAGCUGGGGUCUCCUGCCGAGUCUGAGAAGAUUCAACCUCCCCAGAAGACUCAGAAGGCUGAGCUGGCUGCUCCUGCUCACUAAUGGAAAGUUCACGCUCCGUAGGAUGACAUGGAGGCUCGGUUGGGGCCUACUGUUGGGUUGCAGAAGGUUCCACCUCCUCUGGAAACUGAACUGGAGCCUCCUGCUGGGCUUGGGAAGAUUCUUUCUCAUUGGUAGGCUCCGAAGUUAUGGUAACCUCCACAUCUGCAGGUUUAACUGUAAUGUUGGGCAAGUUAUAAUGAGCUUGAUCCUCACCUGGAGGUUGAACUGUCACCUCAUGAUUUG